ACAAGCAUGUCAGCAAGCAAUGGAUGAAGCAGAAAAAGAAUAUAAGAAGAUGUCUGAGCGAAUAAAUGAAGAUCGAGAUGCAAAGAAGGUGCGGAAAAUCAUCACUACUUGGAUACUAAAAUCCCACCAUUUUUACUACCUUUGUGCUCUGUUUCAGGCUUCAUGUCUGGAAUUCUUAGAAGCAGCACAGGCCAGUGCAUGUCGCUGCAAGUUAGUUAUCUUCAAUUGCGAUUCCACGUUCUAACAAGCUGCUGAAUGGAUAGUGGAUACCAUUCUUUUCCUUCAAGACUAUAUAGGUUCUAUCAUUUUACCAUAGACAGAAAUCACAUACACACACACAAAGAUGUAUAUACCAAGUAAAGUGCAAUAUUGAAAUAAAAUUCGUUCAAGAGGGCCAUAUGAGCCGCUUAAUGCAUUUUAUCACUAUGCAUUAUCGUUUACAUAAUAAAACAUAUGAU
rnacentral:lncRNA from 1 species